CUGUUCACUUUGCCAACAUAUACACUAAAAUUGGAACGAUGCAGAGGUCAUGACCCCUGCACAAAGAUGCUGCAAACUCACAAAGCAUUCCAUGUUUUU
ensembl:snRNA U6 U6 spliceosomal RNA